rnacentral:rRNA from 1 species
GAUGAACGCUAGCGGCAGGCUUAAUACAUGCAAGUCGAGGGGUAGCAAGAUUGUAGCAAUACAAUUGUUGACGACCGGCAAACGGGUGCGGAACACGUACACAACCUUCCUACAAGUGGGGAAUAGCCCAGAGAAAUUUGGAUUAAUACCCCGUAACAUAGCGAUGUGGCAUCACAUUGCUAUUAUAGCUUCGGCGCUUGUUGAUGGGUGUGCGGCUGAUUAGAUAGUUGGCGGGGUAACGGCCCACCAAGUCUACGAUCAGUAGCUGAUGUGAGGGCAUGAUCAGCCACACGGGCACUGAGACACGGGCCCGACUCCUACGGGAGGCAGCAGUAAGGAAUAUUGGACAAUGGACGCAAGUCUGAUCCAGCCAUGCCGCGUGAAGGAUUAAGGUCCUCUGGAUUGUAAACUUCUUUUAUAAAGGACGAAAAAAGGUCUUUCUAGAUCGUCUGACGGUACCUUAUGAAUAAGCACCGGCUAACUCCGUGCCAGCCGCCGCAGUAAGAC